rnacentral:rRNA from 1 species
UGGGGAUGACGUCAAAUCAGCACGGCCCUUACGUCCAGGGCUACACACGUGCUACAAUGGCCGGUACAAAGGGCAGCUACCUGGUGACAGGAUGCUAAUCUCAAAAGCCGGUCUCAGUUCGGAUUGGAGGCUGCAACUCGCCUCCAUGAAGUCGGAAUCGCUAGUAACCGCAGAUCAGCUACGUUGCGGUGAAUACGUUCCCGGGCCUU